rnacentral:rRNA from 1 species
UAAUACGUAGGGGUCGAGCGUUGUCCGGACUUACUGGGCGUAAAGCGUGGGUAGGUGGUCGGUGAUGUGCCGUGUGAAAGCCCCGCGUUCAUCGGGGGGAGGUCGCGGUAGACACAUUGACUUGAGGCAUGCAGAGGGCAGUGGAAUUCCCGGUGUAGUGGUGAAAUGCGUAGAUAUCGGGAGGAACACCAGUGGCGCAAGCGGCUGCCUGGGCAUGACCUGACACUGAGCCACGACGGCGUGGGGAGCAAACGGGAUUAGAUACCCCGGUAGUCCACGCAGUAAACGAUGCAUACCCGGUGUGUGGUGGGUCUUAAAGCCCGCUGCGUGCCUGAGCUUACGCGAUGAGUAUGCCGCCUGGGGACUACGAGCGCAAGCUUA